rnacentral:rRNA from 1 species
AGGGUUUGAUUAUGGCUCAGGAUGAACGCUGGCGGCGUGCUUAACACAUUCAAGUCGAACGGAGUCUUUUUGGAAGCUUGCUUCCGGGAAGACUUAGUGGCGGACGGGUGAGUAAUGCAUGAGCAACCUGCCUUCAGGAGGGGGAUAACAUCGGGAAACCGGUGCUAAUACCGCAUAGAGCAUUUUGCAGGCAUCUGCGAGAUGGGAAAGGAGCAAUCCGCCUGGAGAUGGGCUCAUGUCUGAUUAGAUAGUUGGUAGGGUAACGGCCUACCAAGUCUGCGAUCAGUAGCCGGACUGAGAGGUCGAACGGCCACAUUGGAACUGAGAUACGGUCCAG